UACGAAGGGGGCUAGCGUUGCUCGGAAUCACUGGGCGUAAAGGGUGCGUAGGCGGGUCUUUAAGUCAGGGGUGAAAUCCUGGAGCUCAACUCCAGAACUGCCUUUGAUACUGAGGAUCUUGAGUUCGGGAGAGGUGAGUGGAACUGCGAGAGUAGAGGUGAAAUUCGUAGAUAUUCGCAAGAACACCAGUGGCGAAGGCGGCUCACUGGCCCGAUACUGACGCUGAGGCACGAAAGCGUGGGGAGCAAACAGG
rnacentral:rRNA from 1 species